rnacentral:rRNA from 1 species
UCCUACGGGAGGCAGCAGUGGGGAAUUUUGGACAAUGGGCGAAAGCCUGAUCCAGCCAUUCCGCGUGCAGGAUGAAGGCCCUCGGGUUGUAAACUGCUUUUGUACAGAACGAAAAAGCUCUUUCUAAUACAGAGAGUCCAUGACGGUACUGUAAGAAUAAGCACCGGCUAACUACGUGCCAGCAGCCGCGGUAAU